CUCUUGUCUGCAGGGCGAGGAUGGUGAGAUUGGACAGAGAGGAAUGCCAGGAGAAAGUGGUCCAAGAGGACUGCUGGGCCCCAGAGGUUCUGCUGGGACCUCUGGACAGCGUGUAUGUACCACACUUGCUUAAUUACAACUGUACAAAUAGCAUGAAAUUCACAGCUAAACACUUCUAUUUUAUACACAUGCAGGGUCUUCCUGGAUUGGAUGGACCACCUGGCCCUAAAGGAAAUAUGGGUCCUCAAGGAGAGCCUGGACCUUCUGGGCAACAGGGGAACACCGGUCCACAUGUAGGUAUCAGUCGAAUGAUCACUGUCGGUCUGCUCUUUUUCUCACUCUCUCUGU
rnacentral:lncRNA from 1 species